UACGUAGGGUGCAAGCGUUAAUCGGAAUUACUGGGCGUAAAGCGCACGUAGGUGGUUUUCUAAGUCAGCUGUGAAAUCCCCGGGCUCAACCUGGGACUUGCAGUUGAAACUGGGAAGCUAGAGUAGGGUAGAGGGGUGUGGAAUUCCAGGUGUAGCGGUGAAAUGCGUAGAUAUCUGGAGGAACAUCAGUGGCGAAGGCGACCACCUGGACUGAUACUGACACUGAGGUGCGAAAGCGUGGGGAGCAAACAGG
rnacentral:rRNA from 1 species